GUUGACCUCAAAUCAGG
rnacentral:rRNA from 1 species